GGGCCGGGACCCCCCCCGGGGCGGAGGAGAUAAGGAGGUUAGAGCAGUCCUGGGGAAGGGGGGAGAUGAAAAGGGGGGGGUUACACAGCCGGGAAGGUGAGAGACAGCGAUGCUCUCUCUUAAAGCCUGGAGCAAAAAAACCUUUGUCCCGCAGCUGUGUAUCCAGAUGUGCAGGGUUUUGGACACACAUCUCCCUCUCCACGCCCUGCAAAACCUCUCUCGAUUUUCUCUACCAAAGCAGCGCUUUGCUUGAAUUUCGUUGAGUUUCUACUCAAGAUCAACCGUUUCCUUAAGAAAAAAAAAGGCAAAAAUCCAAUUAUAACCAAUUAAAACCGUCCGAGCAGCUCUACCAGCAGCAGAGACUAUUUCAAGGACCUGCCUCGGCGUUGCCUCCUCCAGGAAAAUAAAACACGUACACACAGAAAAAAAUAACCCCGCGGCCGGUUUUGCGUGUGCGUGGCCGCAUCCAGCCUCCUUCAGCCGGGAAAUAUCGGUCCGUGGGGUGCGCACCCCAAAAAUCAACGCCGUGAGGAGCUGAGCUGAGCCCCAGCCGGGUGAAAACCAACAGCCGGGAGGGUGAGGAUGGAUUUCGGACACUUUUUAUCCCGAAAAAGCAGAGGAUGGGGACACAGCAGAGAGCAGCGACAAGAGAAAGAAAUCCCCGCUUUGCACUCCGAGGAGCUGCUUUUCUCUGCGAUUACCGAGUGCUCCCGGCAGAAAAGAGAAGCGAUUAACGAAAUUUGGCUGAAAAUAACCCUGCGGAGCAAAGCUCGGCCUUUUCGCUCUCCUUUCCAGACUCUUCUUCCCCGCCCGGGGACGAAAUAAAUCGAUGCGAUGACCGUUUAUUUUAUUUCACGCAUCGAAAUUAAUUCCGCGGCGCUUUUAGAGUUAAAGCUCUGGGUGUUGAUGGAUGCGUCCGUGAGUGGCAGCGAACAACAACAACAAGACACCAAAAAGAGCAACAAAAACCGACAAUAACAGCGACAGUAAAGCCAUGAGAAAUUUGGGCUGUGGGGGGGAGAGUUUUUAUCCGCGGGAUUUAUCCGCGGGAUUGUGCUGAAAAUUGAAUUUUUUUAAAAAAUCACGGAAAAACGGUUUAAAAAAUAAUAAUUAAAAAGAAACAGCUUUGAGCAGAGCAAAAGGGAUAAACUGCUGCUGUGCCAAGCGUGCAUGGGUAUUUUUGAACUUUAAAAAAUAUAUAUAUAAUAUAUUUGUUCCA